GAUGAACGCUGGCGGCGUGCCUAAUACAUGCAAGUCGAGCGAACAGACGAGGAGCUUGCUCCUCUGACGUUAGCGGCGGACGGGUGAGUAACACGUGGAUAACCUACCUAUAAGACUGGGAUAACUUCGGGAAACCGGAGCUAAUACCGGAUAAUAUAUUGAACCGCAUGGUUCAAUAGUGAAAGACGGUUUUGCUGUCACUUAUAGAUGGAUCCGCGCCGCAUUAGCUAGUUGGUAAGGUAACGGUUUACCAAGGCGACGAUGCGUAGCCGACCUGAGAGGGUGAUCGGCCACACUGGAACUGAGACACGGUCCAGACUCCUACGGGAGGCAGCAGUAGGGAAUCUUCCGCAAUGGGCGAAAGCCUGACGGAGAAACGCCGCGUGAGUGAUGAAGGUCUUCGGAUCGUAAAACUCUGUUAUUAGGGAAGAACAAAUGUGUAAGUAACUAUGCACGUCUUGACGGUACCUAAUCAGAAAGCCACGGCUAACUACGUG
rnacentral:rRNA from 1 species